GACGGAGGGUGCUAGCGUUGUUCGGAAUUACUGGGCGUAAAGGGCGCGUAGGCGGCUACGGCAGUCGGGUGUGAAAGCCCGGGGCUCAACCCCGGAACGGCAUCCGAUACUCUGUGGCUAGAGACCGGAAGAGGUGGGUGGAAUACCCAGUGUAGAGGUGAAAUUCGUAGAUAUUGGGUGGAACACCGGUGGCGAAGGCGGGUCUCUGGGCCGAUACUGACGCUGAGGAGCGAAAGCGUGGGGAGCGAACAGG
rnacentral:rRNA from 1 species